rnacentral:lncRNA from 1 species
AACCCCCAAUACCCCUUUACCCGUCUCAUUUGCCAAAUCCCUUCCCCCUUCCCCGUCUUUGAUAGAUACGAAAACCAAACUGCCCUAAACCCUAGCUGCCGGCACACCCCACCACCCUUAAACCGGCGGCCACCACCCCAAACCCGACCAAAACGACACCCUAGAACCGCCAAAGCCUCCUCUUUCCAAAACCCCAAUCCAUAUGUUUCGAAUCUUUACAGAACCUUUCGAAUCUUGGGUCGAAAAUGGACCGAAAAAUCCCAAAGUAGGCGAUUGGGUUUGAUAUGAACGAAUUAGGUCCGUUUGGACUUUAUUCUUGUGUUUUUCUAAAACAAAACACACGAAUAAAAUCCGAGUGGACCAAAAUCGGAAGGAAUGUGGAGGUUUUGAAUUUUUGUUCUCGCUUAUGUUCGAUUCCAGGUACCUUUGCUUGCAAUUUUUUUUGUUGUUUGUUUUGUUUAUCUUGCUUAUUUUUGUCAUUUGAUGUUGUCUCAUUUCUUCUACUACCCCUUCUUCGAUUUCUUCAUGUUCUGGCCGGUUUUAGCUCGUGUGGUGGGGUCGAUUUGCUUGUUUGAUUCGUAUACGGUUAUCGACUAUGAAUCGAUCAUUUGUUAGUUAAUCCGUUACGAAUUGGAUACGAAUAUUAAUUGAUAGGUCAAACUUUAUCGAUUCUAAUUUUUGUCUUCUUUUUUGCAUUUUUAUCUGUUUAAGAAUUCGAUUCGCCUUGUUGAUGCUCGACUCAAUAGUUAAACUCGCUGAUAAAUUGAUUUUGUGUGAACAUGUCUAAUAUUAAUUCAUUUAUGGCCGAGUCUGUUUGUGAAUUAGAUAUUGUUGAUUUGAAAUCACGUUAUGAUGAAUGGUUUACAGCUUUGAAGUUAGGAAGAUUGGUUUGGUUAUAGCUGUAUUUUUAAUACACCUUGGUUGACAUCUUUAAGAGUAAAAGUCAGAUGUAGGAUAAUUUUAAUAUUAAAAAGCUGAAAAUGCGCAUGAAAAGAAUAGUGGAACCUGCUGUACAGUAGGAUUUUCAGUACUUUAUGAUUUUCAGAAGUUUAAAAUUUAAAGUUCCAUUCCUAGACAAACUUUAGUGGAAAAACAAAGGAAUAAGAUGGAAUCUAAUCAGUUUUAAAUUGUUUUAAUAGGCUGUAAAGAGAGUAUAGUUUGGCUAUAUAAGAGAAGGUUUCAGGUUAUGUUUGAAGACAGAAUUGGAGGAACAGAAUUUUGAGAGAAUUUGGAGAUCAGUUAGAGAGUCUUUGAGAAAUCCAGCGAGAGUUAGAAAAAUUAAAAGUGAGGUCCUCCUACUUUGAAAUCAGUACAGUAUUGUUACUGUUCCAUUGAACCUCCAAGUUUUCUUGCUGCACUUGUUUAUUGCUGUUUAGUUUGAAACUGUCAUCGUUUGGAAUCUGCUACUGGUUUCUCCUGCUAGCGUCUAAGCCUUUCCUGGGAUUUUCUGCUACUGUUUGUUGCUGGUGGCUGUUUGCUUGCUUUGUUUGAGCUGAUACUGAUCCUUUCUUCUUUUAUUUCUACUAUUAAAGCUCGGGUACACAUUUCUGAGAUUGUAUUUUCUCCUAUCGACAGUGAAAUGGAAUCGGGACUUAAGCUCUAUUGUGGGACUGUUAAUUGAAUGAUUCUGUUAUUGUUGUAAACUAAAUUAGGAGUUUUCUAAAACUGCAAUAGAUUAGUGUACUGUUAGUUUGAAAUUUGGGAUUGCAUCUGGUUUAAUCUAAUGUUAGUUCUAAAUGUAGAAAAACUCGAAUACACUUUAAAAUUGGAAAUUAAUUCAAGGUUUGACAUGUAUUAGUUGUUGAAAUGUAACUAUUAUGGUUAGUUUAAUUUAAGAAUGCAUGUAUUAAAAUAAGCAUCACGAUACUGUUAUAGUUAUUUGUCUAACCGG